GUCCCUGUAAUGCAAUGGAUAGCGUGUUGGUCUUCUAAUCCAAAGGUCUUAGGUUCGAAUCCUACCUGGGAUG